rnacentral:rRNA from 1 species
CAGUCGGGGAUCUUGCUCAAUGGGGGAAACCCUGAAGCAGCAACGCCGCGUGGGGGAUGUAGGUUUUCGGAUUGUAAACUUCUUUUGUUAGAGAAGAUUAUGUCGGUAUCUAAAGAAUAAGCACCGGCCAACUCCGUGCCAGCAGCCGCGGUCAUACGGAGGGUGCAAGCGUUACUCGGAAUCACUGGGCGUAAAGAGCGCGUAGGCGGGAUAGCAAGUCAGGUGUGAAAUCCUAUGGCUUAACCAUAGAACUGCAUUUGAAAAUGUUAUUCUAGAGUAUGGGAGAGGUAGGUGGAAUCUUGGUGUAGGGGUAAAAUCCGUAGAGAUCAAGAGGAAUACUCAUUGCGAAGGCGACCUGCUAGAACAUAACUGACGCUGAUGCGCGAAAGCGUGGGGAGCAAACAGGAUUAGAUACCCCUGUAGUC